rnacentral:rRNA from 1 species
GACGAACGCUGGCGGCGUGCCUCAAACAUGCAAGUCGAGCGGACGGAGACCGAACCGCAAGGGGAGGUUGAAGUUAGCGGCGAACGGGUGAGUAACACGUGGGUAACCUACCCUAAAGUCUGGGACAACGGCCCGAAAGGGCCGCUAAUACCGGAUAAUGUCUUCGGGUCGCAUGGCCUGGGGAAGAAAGCCGAAAGGCGCUUAUGGAUGGGCUCGCGUCCCAUCAGCUAGUUGGUAAGGUAACGGCUUACCAAGGCGACGACGGGUAGCCGGUCUGAGAGGAUGGUCGGCCACACUGGGACUGAGACACGGCCCAGACUCCUACGGGGGGCAGCAGUGGGGAAUCUUGCACAAUGGGCGAAAGCCUGAUGCAGCGACGCCGCGUGAGCGAAGAAGGCCUUCGGUUGUAAGCUCUGUCUGGAGGGACGAAGGAAGUAGACGGUACCGUCCGGAGGAAGCCACGGCUAACUACGUG